rnacentral:rRNA from 1 species
CUACGGGCGGCUGCAGUAAGGAAUAUUGCACAAUGGGGGAAACCCUGAUGCAGCAACGCCGCGUGGACGAAGAAGGCCUUCGGGUCGUAAAGUCCUUUUCUGAGGGAAGAGGAAGGACGGUACCUCAGGAAUAAGUCUCGGCUCACUACGUGCCAGCAGCCGCGGUAAAACGUAGGAGGCGAGCGUUAUCCGGAUUCACUGGGCGUAAAGGGCAAGUAGGCGGUUGUUUAAGUUAGGUGUGACAUCUCUCGGCUUAACUGGGAGGGAGCGCUUAAAACUAGGCAACUAGAGGGCGGAAGAAGGGGGUAGAACUCCAAAUGUAGCGGUGGAAUGCUCAGAUAUUUGGAAGAAUACCAGUGGCGAAGGCGACCCCCCGGUCCGUGCCUGACGCUGAGAGGCGAAAGCUAGGGUAGCGAACGGGAUUAGAUACCCCAGUAGUC